CUUGGUGACAAGAGCGCAGGGGGUACACCUCUUCCCAUUCCGAACAGAGAAGUUAAGACCUGUUGCGCCGAUGGUACUGCUCGGGCGACCGUGUGGGAGAGUAGGUAGUUGCCAAGU
rnacentral:rRNA from 1 species